UACGUAGGCAGCAAGCGUUGUUCGGAGUUACUGGGCGUAAAGGGUGCGUAGGCGGUCCUGUAAGUAUGGUGUGAAAUCUCCCGGCUUAACUGGGAGGGUGCGCUAUAAACUGCGGGACUAGAGUGUGGGAGAGGAAAGUGGAAUUCCUGGUGUAGCGGUGAAAUGCGUAGAUAUCAGGAGGAACACCGGUGGUGUAAACGGCUUUCUGGACCAUAACUGACGCUGAGGCACGAAAGCGUGGGUAGCAAACAG
rnacentral:rRNA from 1 species